UCCCGAUGAUGAUGACAACCGCGGCUGUCUGAAGCGGCUGACGAAAUCGGUUGAGAUUCUGAUGA
rnacentral:snoRNA from 14 species